GGAGAGGUGCCCGAGUGGCUGAAGGCGCACGCCUGGAGAGCGUGUGUGCGCUCCACGCACCGUGGGUUCGAAUCCACCCUCUCCGCCA
rnacentral:tRNA from 1 species